rnacentral:rRNA from 1 species
GACGAACGCUGGCGGCGUGCUUAACACAUGCAAGUCGAGCGGAAAGGCCCUUCGGGGUACUCGAGCGGCGAACGGGUGAGUAACACGUGAGUAACCUGCCCCAGACUUUGGGAUAACCCUCGGAAACGGGGGCUAAUACCGGAUACGACACAGCUUCGCAUGGGGUCUGUGUGGAAAGUUUUUCGGUUUGGGAUGGGCUCGCGGCCUAUCAGCUUGUUGGUGGGGUGAUGGCCUACCAAGGCGACGACGGGUAGCCGGCCUGAGAGGGCGACCGGCCACACUGGGACUGAGACACGGCCCAGACUCCUACGGGAGGCAGCAGUGGGGAAUAUUGCACAAUGGGCGGAAGCCUGAUGCAGCGACGCCGCGUGAGGGAUGACGGCCUUCGGGUUGUAAACCUCUUUCAGCAGGGACGAAGCGUAAGUGACGGUGCCUGCAGAAGAAGCGCCGGCCAACUACGUG